AAGCAAGAAGCGAAAAUCGCAAUCAGUUUCGACCUGAUUAUUGGUAAUAACUCCUACCCUUGCUUU
rnacentral:tRNA from 1 species